CAGAAGAAACAAAUUGGGUCUUAAAAUUUUAUUAUCUUUCAUUAAUAAAUAAGAAUAAAAUACUAGUACAUAGUGUUCCCAGAUGAAACUUACCAGUGCAAAUUUCUUUCAACUAUUUUAUAUUCAAAGCAGCUUUAUAAUGAUUUGCUAAUCAAUCUUUAUCUAUAAGCAUUCUGAGACAGCAAGAAAAGGAGGUUAUUUAUAAGUAUUUCUGAAAGUCUCUCAACAAUGUAUAUUAACACUUUUGUCUUUCUGGUUCAGUAAAACAAAGAUGCAAACUUCUUCACAGUCUGCAAAGAAUUUCUGCUUCAUCAGAAGAUAAAAUGUUUUGUGUAAUCUCCAAACAUUCAAUUGAGUUGGCAAGCAGUGAUGAUCUCAGGCCAGACUGGAAUUGGUUUUCUGGCUUACCUGCAACUGACCUGUGACUGAUGUGAGGAUGGAACAUUCAAGGUCCAUCAGGGUUGUUCUGUCCAGUACUGGAGCCAGACUAUAUCCCUUUAAGAAUCUGUUCUGUGAGAAAAGAGGAGCACACUUUCCUGAGCCCUUGGAGAUCUCAUGUGUUGCUGGUGUCAGGUUAUGAAGUUCCUGCUGCUCUCAUCUAUUCAGUGAAGUCUCUGACUCUGUUGAAGGUGAUGGGACCUGCAAUACCUGCCUGCACUGUGGACUCAAAUUGUAUCUACGAAGGCUCUGAACAGUGGAAAUGUCUUCUCAUGUGACCCCUUUUUGCCUUCUCUACAGGAUGAGCAACAUAUUAUGGCCAGUCCCCAUCUUUGUAAGUUAGAAUAUACAUACACAAAAAGAUAAUACAGGAAAGAAGGAUGAAAUAUAAGACAAAGUGUAUAGCUACACAAAGACUUAACAAUUUGUGGUCCCAGCACCCUAUGCAAGACUGGCUUUUCUUGAACUGGCUACAGCUGUGUAUCUCCUUCCUCCAAGGACAGGCUUGGGGGCAGUUCAUACCCAGACUAACUUUGGCAGCAAUUCUCACUCCAGCUCUCCUCCACCAGUGGGCAGAGCUCAGAGGGUCCUGGUGAGCUUUGAAAAGCUUAGCCCAGACACGGUUCCCACCUGCUCAAAGGCCCAGUCCAGAUCUAAAAUCCUUGAUAUAAAUAGUUGUCUGGUAUUCCCAUGCCAUAACUUCCACUCAUUUUUGAUUUUCCAAAACUGACGCCUAAAUGGAAAUUGUAAUGCUUUUGUACCCUUGACUACUUUGCUGUGCAGCCCAUGUUGUGCAUACCACUGGCCUAAUUUCCUUCCAACUGUUAAACCUCUGAAUUUGAUUAGAAGGAAAAAGGAGAUGUCCAGGCUGACAAACCUACACUUAAAAAAUUAAAGGGAAAAAGAAAAGCCCAACAAAAAAUAUUCUAGGCUUAGCAAGCAGUAAUUGGAUUGCUUUCUGGCUUCAUUUCAGCCUCAGCUGCUUCCUCCCACUCCCACCUCUCAGCCAAUAUUUCAUACAGUAACACAAAAUACCUAAGAAGGUGGAUUAUACAAAAUAUCUCUGUGUUUGGUCUCUGGUUGAAAUCCAGACAUGGUUAGUGAUUAGAGGAUCAAUGAAGUCCAUUGAGUGACCUGUGUAAGAUAAAUCAUUGUACUCCCACAGCGUGAAGUUCUUCCUACAGGGAGAAGUGGAGGAAAAGCACCAAAAAAUGAUUUAAAUGUCACUUGUCAAACUUUUAAUAAGCCCUAACGUGGGUGUGGUGAAGUGUUAAGUUUUUUCCAGAGUUAGGGAAGUUUAUGUCCUGUCUGCCAGUCUGGUAUUGAAGAUAUUUUGGAAAUGAGCUGAUAAUUCUUUCCUGGACUGGGGAGGGAGAUUGCUGAUGUCUUCAGGAAGACUUUGCACUGAAAUCCCAGACAAAAGGAAUUGUUACCCUUGGUAAGUUGUGUGCACUAUUUUUCUAACCCUUUCAAAUAUUGUAGCUCAAAAUGAAGGCAUUUCCUUUUCUAUAGCUACUCCUUGUUAAAUUCUGUUUAAAAUACUGGUGUCUGAGGCAUGAUGUUUUGUACUCCAUCCCUGAUUUUUGUUGUCACUGGGUAUUAUAAAUCCCCAAAAAGCUACAAUAUGUUCCAUCUAACUGAUACAAUAACAGUCAAACUUCUGGGAAUAAAAACCCUACUUC